rnacentral:rRNA from 1 species
UACAGAGGGUGCAAGCGUUAAUCGGAAUUACUGGGCGUAAAGCGUGCGUAGACGGUUACAUAAGUCGGAUGUGAAAUCCCCGGGCUCAACCUGGGAACUGCAUUUGUGACUGCAUCGCUGGAGUACGGCAGAGGGGGAUGGAAUUCCGCGUGUAGCAGUGAAAUGCGUAGAUAUGCGGAGGAACACCGAUGGCGAAGGCAAUCCCCUGGGCCUGUACUGACGCUCAUGCACGAAAGCGUGGGGAGCAAACAGG